GACGAACGCUGGCGGCGUGCUUAACACAUGCAAGUCGAACGGAAAGGCCCUGCUUUUGUGGGGUGCUCGAGUGGCGAACGGGUGAGUAACACGUGAGUAACCUGCCCUUGAUUUUGGGAUAACUUCAGGAAACUGGGGCUAAUACCGGAUAGGAGCUCCUGCUGCAUGGUGGGGGUUGGAAAGUUUCGGCGGUUGGGGAUGGACUCGCGGCUUAUCAGCUUGUUGGUGGGGUAGUGGCUUACCAAGGCUUUGACGGGUAGCCGGCCUGAGAGGGUGACCGGCCACAUUGGGACUGAGAUACGGCCCAGACUCCUACGGGAGGCAGCAGUGGGGAAUAUUGCACAAUGGGCGGAAGCCUGAUGCAGCAACGCCGCGUGCGGGAUGACGGCCUUCGGGUUGUAAACCGCUUUCGCCUGUGACGAAGCGUGAGUGACGGUAAUGGGUAAAGAAGCACCGGCGAACUACGU
rnacentral:rRNA from 1 species